CAGAUGAUUUAUUUUCCCUUUUAGAAAUUUUUUCAAAAGUUCAUUCUCAGGUAUUGCCGAAUGCUGUUCUGAGUGUUUCCACCUUCUUUUUUCUAAGUGGCUUCGUACUGCCAUUUAUGGUGCCAAAUCCCAAAACAAGCAAAAGAAGCGUAGGAACAGUAUAUCUGGUGGGAAUCAUAAAACGUUACAUGAGGGUCACAGUGCCAACAAUGGCUCUGAUCCUGUGCUUUUACCUGGUGCCCUUGAUGGUGGACGGGCCAGCUGACCAAGACAACUUGGCUUUGCAUGAGCGAAACUGCAUAGAGAGGCCCUGGGCCGUGCCAGCCCUCAUGAACAACUUCCUGCCACUCCAU